CUAGCCUCACGUGGUGCCCUCCAAUCUAAGAGAGGAGAAGCCCCCACCUUCGCAGAGAAUCCACAGCACAACUCACCACUUGGAACGGGCAAGCCAAUAGAUAGCA